UACGAAGGGGGCUAGCGUUGUUCGGAAUCACUGGGCGUAAAGCGCACGCAGGCGGAUCGAUCAGUCGGGGGUGAAAGCCCGGGGCUCAACCUCGGAAUUGCCUUCGAUACUGUCGGUCUCGAGUGCGGGAGAGGUGAGUGGAAUUCCUAGUGUAGAGGUGAAAUUCGUAGAUAUUAGGAAGAACACCAGUGGCGAAGGCGGCUCACUGGCCCGGUACUGACGCUCAGGUGCGAAAGCGUGGGGAGCAACCAGG
rnacentral:rRNA from 1 species